UAGUUAAAAAUACUGUUUUUUUUUCUUGCUGAAUAUUUACUUAGGGAAAUUGGUUUGUGUCUGUGGCAAAGGAAUUCAACAAUGUUUUCUUUCAUUUUCAGGUCACACGAUUUUAAGAAAAUAGAAGACUAUCAUUUACAGCUGGUGUGGCCCUGUGGCGGUGUGGACCCAGAUUUCAAGCACAGAGGAAGAUCAGACACUGAUGUCCCGCAUCUGAUAUGUAUAUAGCACAAUUCUCAAUUAUCCUUUGAUUGUGUUUUACUCCCUUCUGUACAAUAGACUCAUUUUUAAAGCAAAAGUUGAAGAAAGUGAACAAAAACAGCAGUGGAAAGUUCAUAAAAGACAAAAUGAAGAAUUCAGAGCCCAAUCCUAACCUCAAGCCAAGAAGUAAGAAAAGGAAGAAAAAAUCAAGAAACUCAGAACAGAACCCCAGCAACAUUGAACCAAGGAGCAUGGACUCUCAGGCUGUUCAUAGAUUUCAGGAUCUUUUCCACUACUUCCACAGGCAGAUAGAGGGCCAUCCCCACCACCGUCUCUACCACCACCGUCUCUUCCCAGAGGAGUUUUUACUCUUCCUCCAACUCCUUUACCUGAGCUAAGUGGUAAACCAUCAUCAUCACCAUCACCUUUGGAGACCUCCUCUACCACCACCUUUGUUGAGAGACCUACUCUCCAGGAUCCCCACCUGCUCUGUCUUAUGGAGUGAAACAGAAAUAAAUGUGUAAGACUCA
rnacentral:lncRNA from 1 species